rnacentral:rRNA from 1 species
AUACGGAGGGUCCGAGCGUUAUGCGGAAUCAUUGGGUUUAAAGGGUCCGUAGGCGGGAAUCUAAGUCAGUGGUGAAAUCUUGCAGCUCAACUGUAAAAUUGCCAUUGAUACUGGAUUUCUUGAAUUAGUGUGAAGUGGUUAGAAUGUGUAGUGUAGCGGUGAAAUGCAUAGAUAUUACACAGAAUACCAAUUGCGAAGGCAGAUCACUAACACUAUAUUGACGCUAAGGGACGAAAGCGUGGGGAGCGAACAGGAUUAGAAACCCGAGUAGUCC